AUUGAACGCUGGCGGCAUGCUUUACACAUGCAAGUCGAACGGCAGCGCGGGCUUCGGCCUGGCGGCGAGUGGCGAACGGGUGAGUAAUACAUCGGAACGUGCCCAGUAGUGGGGGAUAGCUCGGCGAAAGCCGGAUUAAUACCGCAUACGACCUGAGGGUGAAAGCGGGGGAUCUUCGGACCUCGCGCUAUUGGAGCGGCCGAUGGCAGAUUAGCUAGUUGGUGGGGUAAAGGCCUACCAAGGCGACGAUCUGUAGCUGGUCUGAGAGGACGACCAGCCACACUGGGACUGAGACACGGCCCAGACUCCUACGGGAGGCACCAGUGGGGAAUUUUGGACAAUGGGCGAAAGCCUGAUCCAGCAAUGCCGCGUGUGUGAUGAAGGCCUUCGGGUUGUAAAGCACUUUUGGCGGGAACGAAAAGGACUGUGCCAAUACCACGGUUCGAUGACGGUACCCGCAGAAUAAGCACCGGCUAACUACGUG
rnacentral:rRNA from 1 species